rnacentral:pre_miRNA from 17 species
GACCUGUUAAUGAAAAUGCCAGUUACACUUUAGCAGCACGUAAAUAUUGGCGUGGCAAUAAUCGCCAAUAUUACUUGUGCUGCUGCAGCGUGACAUGGUUUUAUCACCCGCCAGAUC